rnacentral:rRNA from 1 species
CAGUCGCCGCGGGAAUACGAAGGGGGCUAGCGUUGUUCGGAUUUACUGGGCGUAAAGGGCGCGUAGGCGGACUGAUAAGUCAGGGGUGAAAUCCCAAGGCUCAACCUUGGAACUGCCUUUGAUACUGUUUGUCUUGAGUUCGAGAGAGGUAAGUGGAACUGCGAGUGUAGAGGUGAAAUUCGUAGAUAUUCGCAAGAACACCAGUGGCGAAGGCGGCUUACUGGCUCGAAACUGACGCUGAGGCGCGAAAGCGUGGGGAGCAAACAGGAUUAGAUACCCCGUAGUCCCUGUCUCUUAUACA